GGAGGAAAGUAGGGGAUCGCAAGACCUUGCGCUGAUUGAGCGGCCGAUAUCAGAUUAGCUAGUUGGUGAGGUAAGAGCUCACCAAGGCGACGAUCUGUAGCGGGUCUGAGAGGAUGAUCCGCCACACUGGAACUGAGACACGGUCCAGACUCCUACGGGAGGCAGCAGUGGGGAAUUUUGGACAAUGGGGGCAACCCUGAUCCAGCCAUGCCGCGUGAGUGAAGAAGGCCUUCGGGUUGUAAAGCUCUUUCAGCCGGGAAGAAAAUGCAUGGGUUAAUACCCUGUGCAGAUGACGGUACCGGAAUAAGAAGCACCGGCUAACUACGUGCCAGCAGCCGCGGUAAUACGUAGGGUGCGAGCGUUAAUCGGAAUUACUGGGCGUAAAGCGUGCGCAGGCGGUUUUGUAAGACAGGCGUGAAAUCCCCGGGCUUAACCUGGGAACUGCGUUUGAAACUACAAGGCUAG
rnacentral:rRNA from 1 species